rnacentral:rRNA from 1 species
AUUGAACGCUGGCGGCAGGCCUAACACAUGCAAGUCGAACGAGUGGCGGACGGGUGAGUAAUGUCUGGGAAACUGCCUGAUGGAGGGGGAUAACUACUGGAAACGGUAGCUAAUACCGCAUACCAUCAGAUGUGCCCAGAUGGGAUUAGCUAGUAGGUGGGGUAAUUGCUCACCUAGGCGACGAUCCCUAGCUGGUCUGAGAGGAUGACCAGCCACACUGGAACUGAGACACGGUCCAGACGCUGACGGGAGGCAGAAGUGGGGAAGAUUGCACAAUGGUAGCAAGCCUGAUUCAGCCAUGCCGCGUGUGUGAAGAAGGCCUUCGGGUUGUAAAUCACUUUCAGCGAGGAGGCGUGACUCUCAGAAGAAGCACCGGCUAACUCCGUGCCAGCAGCCGCGGUAAUAC